rnacentral:sRNA from 1 species
AUUCUGCCCAUGCGGGGAAGGAUGGGAAGCUUCGACCAAGGUUCGACUCGAGCGCCAGCGAGAGAGCGUUGCCGCAGGCAACGACCCGUAGGGCGAAGCGCGCAGCGCUGAGUAAUCCUUCCCCCACCACCA